rnacentral:rRNA from 1 species
AGAGUUUGAUCCUGGCUCAGGAUAAACGCUGGCGGCGUGCCUAACACAUGCAAGUCGAACGAGUUCGUUUUCUUCGGAGAGCGAGCGAGUGGCGGACGGGUGAGUAAGACGUGGGUGACCUACCUUUCAGUGAGGGAUACCGGCGAGAAAUCGCCGACAAUCCCGCAUGGGCUUCUGUUUGUGAGAGAGCAGAAGCAAAGCCUGGCGCAAGCGAGGCGCUGGGAGAUGGGCCCGCGGCCGAUUAGCUAGUUGGUGGGGUAAGAGCCUACCAAGGCGACGAUCGGUAGCUGGUCUGAGAGGACGAUCAGCCACACUGGGAUUGAGAACGGCCCAGACUCCUACGGGGGGCAGCAGUGAGGAAUUUUCCGCAAUGGGGGCAACCCUGACGGAGCAACGCCGCGUGCAGGAAGAAGGUUUUCGGAUCGUAAACUGCUUUUCUCUGGGAAGAGAUCGGACGGUACCAGAGGAACAAGCCCCGGCUAACUACGUGCCAGCAGCCGCGGUAAUACGUAGGGGGCGAGCGUUGUCCGGAUUUAUUGGGCGUAAAGGGCCCGCAGGCGGUCCUGUCAGUUUGGGGUUACAGCUCCCGGCUUAACCGGGAGAGCGCCUCGAAGACGGCGGGACUGGAGGACUUCAGAGGGACACAGAAUUCCGGGUGUAGUGGUGAAAUGCGUAGAUAUCCGGAGGAAUACCAAAGGCGAAGGCAGUGUCCUGGGGAGUACCUGACGCUGAGGGG